AGGAACAUCCAAAUCUCCUCAGCGGUUAAACCGACCCCAAACCACUUCUGGGAAACCACCGGUAUCCACUGCUUUGGGGAACUCUGGAUGCUCGUUAUGCCAAACGCUCUCAAAGUGAAGGAAGAUGAUUUCCCCCCCAUCUUGACCACCCCCCAGUCUUCGCCGCCAAAAACGGACUCCGCCGGCUAUCCUCGGCCCGGUACCAGUUGUUGGAUCCAAGAGAAUUCCGGAACCCAAACGGUCCAUUACCGCGGCUCUGGGGCUCGCUCAAAGCACUUUAUUGGCAGUGAAACCGCAAGUAACCCGGAGCCCUCGGCGCGACCACGGCUAGAAUCAGAGCCUAAGGCGUGUGAGCUCAGCCAUCCCACGUCUGUCUUCACGCUCAUACGCAAGCCCGACACACCGGGGCUCCCACUUAAUGAAUACUGAAGAGUAGGGCUGUCCCUACCGCUUCUCACUUCCUUGUUUUCAUCUUUUCGUUAUUAUUAAGCGACCUAACACAAUAAACAUAUUACCUUGUUGGUAACCCUUUUGUAAAGUCAUUCUGAAAGUGCUGUUUGACUCCGUUGCUUGGGUAAUAAGCACGCCUGGGUGAUUCUUGCCCCCUACUGGCUGCGCAUCCUACAAGCCUAGUGCUGAAAGCAAACCAAGUAGCUGGAACAGUUGGAGGUUACAGUGUGAACUCUUCCAG
rnacentral:lncRNA from 1 species